GAGGAAUAUUGUACAAUGGGCGCAAGCCUGAUGCAGCAACGCCGCGUGAGGGACGAAGGCCUUCGGGUCGUAAACCUCUUUUCUGAGGGACGAGUAAGGACGGUACCUCAGGAAUAAGUCUCGGCUAACUACGUGCCAGCAGCCGCGGUAAAACGUAGGAGGCGAGCGUUAUCCGGAUUUACUGGGCGUAAAGCGUACGCAGGUGGCUUCGUGAGUCGGACAUGAAAGCUCCUGGCUUAACUGGGAGAGGUUGUUCGAUACUGCGGGGCUUGAGGUUGGGAGAGGGACGUGGAAUUCCCGGUGUAGUGGUGGAAUGCGUAGAUAUCGGGAGGAACACCAGUGGCGCAAGCGGCGUCCUGGCCCACACCUGACGCUGAGGUACGAAAGCGUGGGUAGCAAACAG
rnacentral:rRNA from 1 species